AACUUGGGAGGGGAGAACGCAUCCGACUGUUAAUCGGAUGGUCGCUGGUUCGAAUCCAGCCCGGGGAGCCA
rnacentral:tRNA from 1 species